UAUGGCUUGAUAUGCAGUUGUGUGAUUUGCUCAUUGUAGAGGAAGCAACACAGUGAUCUAUAACUACGUCUUGUUGUCUCUGGUGGAGAGUAGUCGCAUUAUUAAUCACGGCCACAUCUUAUCUUUAUAUUGAAAUUAAACUCAAUAUUUGUUGAAUUAACAUGGCAGAUGUAAGAUGAAUCCAAAUGCUUAAAGUCUUUUCUCUUUUCAAUAACUGAGAGGAUAUGUUUUGUUUUUUUAGUUCUUACUCGGUGUUUUUUUUUUCGGAAUGCUUUUCAUGUAUACUUCUUUGUCUAAUCUCAACGCGUUUUGUUAAUUUAAGAAAUUUUGAUUUUGGUGGAAGAUCUCUUUCAUACAGUACUUAGAUAUAUAACUGCAAGAUUUAAAUAGACUAUUUAUCGUUGGUCCAUGUGUUUGCCUGGUCUGUUUACGACAUCGGGUUGCUGUCUCAUGGAGAUAUACCAAUCAUAUUAUGACAUUUUUCUUCAAGUCUCGUUUAUUGAUGACUCGGUUCAUUUUAGCUAUACGGUAGUUUUUAACAAACCAUGCUUCUCUUUCAUGCGACAGAUUCCUUUAUUGGUAAUUCGUUAUAAGGCUUUAGACUUCAAUAAUAAAAGGCAACUAAAUUUAAAGUUGAAUCAUUGUUU
rnacentral:lncRNA from 1 species